AACAACAGCUGGGAAGAACAUAAUCUUUUGGCCCUCUGGGCCUGCUUUGUAAAGUAAACAUUAAAAACAAAUCUGCAGUUAACGGAUUACAAAGAAGAGAAGAAGGAAGAGGAGGGAAGGGGAGAGGAUGGGAGGGGAAGGAAGAAGGAAGGAACGACGUUAAUACAAAUCACAGCAGAAGCUCACUACAUCCGGGCCUUAGUUCCCCUGGACCUGAAGUGAUGAUUCAUUUACAAAAAUGCAAUUUACAUGCAAAUUGGGGGAAAGGCUCAUAUUGAAAACUGUUCAUUCUUUUAAGCAUUCGUGGGUUCUUCGCCGUCUUCUACAGCUGACACUGCCACAGUCAAAAAAAGAAUAUGCCAAGAAAAGGUCAGUAAAUGCUGAGUGUCAGCAGGAGCCCCCAUCAGACCUGUUCUCACCCACCCUAUCUGGCCUCCAGUCUGUGCUCUACAUUUUCACUAACUUGUUCAACAAAUAUUUUUUGCGUGUGUGCUAUGUGCCA